CAACUGUAUAUAUAAUAUAAUUUGAUAUAACGCGACAAUAAUAUCUAGAUGUUAAUAUAUAGAUAUUAAUCUAUAAUAUAUUUGAUAGACGCUAAAAAUAUAAAAAAAACUAUUUAAUCAAGUAAUUUAAUUAACGUACGUUAAUAAAUGACACGUGUGUGUAUUAUAUAUUGAGAAUCAACUUGCCGGAUUACGUAACACAUGGCGUUGCAAAAUGAAAGCAACCGGUCGACCGGUUAGCCAAGGCACGCGCUCAAAUCGAAUCUCAAGAAGAAAAAAAUCUAAAGAAAAAAGAGAACGAAAGAAUUGGAAACAGGAAAAACGAGAAUUCUCAGAUGAUUGCGGAAACCGAGUGAAGAAAUACGAAA